GUGACCAACACCGACCUCUAUCGCUGUGUCGUCACUCAGGAGGAAAUCAAACACCGGACUCAAACUGAGACUCAUGUUUAUAUGGGGGGAGAAAGAUGGGAUCAAAGCUCAGAGUCUCACACUGGAUGGAUUGUUGCUGCAGUUAUCGGCGCUGUUUUAUUUGUAGUUCUUGGUGUUCUGGCUGUUCUUAUAUACAAGGGUUGCAUCAAACUAAAAGGUAAUAAAGGUUCUCCACCAGGUAAACAAGAGGGUUCAACAGGUGACAUCACAGACCCCCUUCAAGCUCCCUGAUCCGUGUGUGUGUGUGUUAAUGUACAUUUUAAAUCUGUGAGGUCUGUGGAU
rnacentral:lncRNA from 1 species